GGCCCGUUGGUCAAGUGGUUAAGACACCGCCCUUUCACGGCGGUAACAAGGGUUCGAAUCCCGUACGGGUCA
rnacentral:tRNA from 1 species